rnacentral:rRNA from 1 species
CUUGCUUUCUCGAGCGAGUGGCGAACGGGUGAGUAACGCGUGAGGAACCUGCCUCAAAGGGGGGGGACAACAGUUGGAAACGAUUGCUAAUACCGCAUGACGCAUAGAGGUCGCAUGAUCUUUAUGCCAAAGAUUCAUCGCUUCAAGAUGGCCUCGCGUCUGAUUAGCUGGUUGGCGGGGUAACGGCCCACCAAGGCGACGAUCAGUAGCCGGACUGAGAGGUUGAACGGCCACAUUGGGACUGAGAUACGGCCCAGACUCC